GCACGCUGCAUAGCUCAGCUGGUUAGAGCGUGGUGCUGAUAACACCAAGAUUGCAGGUUCAGUCCCCGUAAGGGACGGCUGCA